ACAUCCCUGUAAAUGUUGUGUUAACCAUCCCUGUCAUUAGAAUGACUUUUCCCGCCUUGUGCGGGAUUUUU
rnacentral:sRNA from 1 species